GAGGAGGGGGGAAAGUAAGGAGCAACACUCAUAAGAAAAAUACGUUCCAUUUUCCCAUCUUAUAUGUAAUGCAUAACAGUGGGAAUUAUACGCUUGAUCACUGGAAAAGCUUGGGUGCAUGACUGCUUGAUUCACAAUUCCUACUGCCAGUAACUGUGGCCAAGCUACACCUUUCUUCAUAUAAAAGUACAAGUGAUCGAUGUGAAAAAUGCUUUUAAGCGUGAAAAACAUUGCAGAAUAUGUGUUCCAACUCUUGCAAUGUGUUUGUUAGUAUGUACUUUUAUAUUGAAACAAGAGUAUGUACUGUUAUAUUGAAGAUCGGAUGAUAUAGGAGAUAAACAUAAAUAUAAUAUGCAAUAGAUGUGAUGUUUUUUGUUAGUACGUACACAAACAUAAAUAUUUUUUAUUGUAUAUAAUAUGUAAAUAUUGUUUUUAUUGGAGAGAGUAUGGUACUGAUUGAUUUUUGAUCUGGCAAAAAAAUUAGAUUCACAGUUCGCUGCGAGAAUCUUUUUUUUUUCUCGAGGGCUGGGAACCUUAUUGUGUAGUAAUAAAAGAAGAAAUAUAUUAAUUCCAUUUCUAGAAAGUCCAGGUUAAAAG
rnacentral:lncRNA from 1 species